ensembl:lncRNA
GUACAGUGUCAUUGUUUGACUGUGUAGUUCUGGUGGUCCGUCUAAUACUUUAAAUUUUUUCACUAAAGAAACACAAGCAAAUUCAUUACAAUUUACAGUGGAUAAGAGUUCUGAUGCUAUCUGCUUUAGGGGGUUUGUAAGCUUGUCGACCAUGGCAAAUAGAGUGCGGGUAUUGUUGAUAUUCUUGUUGAUUAUUCCCAAUAAAUGUUGUUGUCUAGCCCUGUGUAACUCAUAGUUGAAGCUACAAAGGCUUUGUUUAUAGAUGAUAUAGUGGACUAUAGUUAAUUUUUCCUCCACUUACGUUCUGCUUUCCUACAUUACCUUCAUGGUGGUUCACCAUUGUGCUUUCUGUUUGCUCAUAAUUUUCUUCACCUUUACCCUCAAUCCAUCAAUCAAAUUGAUUUAUAAAGCCCUUUUUACCACUGCAGUUGUCACAAAAUGCUUUUAGAAAACACUACCAGAAACAACAAGGAGCAAGCAACAACAAUGGUGAAGCACAGUGGCUAGGAAAAACUGCUUAAAAGGGGCAAACAUUUUGGAAGAACCCUAGAGAGUAACUAGGAUCUAGAGAGGGGUGACCAGUCCUCUUCUGGCUGUGGUGAACGAACAAGUUGUAAUAAUUAUUAAAUGCAUUUGGGUUGUGUCCAGAGUCUAUAAAACCUAAUCCAGUUCAGAAGCAAGACCAGAUGGACAAGGACAGGCACAACUGGAUGGAGGGGUGGCUGGGGGGGUGGUUAUCAGACUGGCAGCUGGAAUUGUCAAGUAUUGUCUUGAUCUGCAACACAGCAAGGAGGUCUUUGGACAAGUGGCAGUAAUGUGUUUUUAGGGCCUUGUACUCAGGAGGUGUGGGCCAAGGCCUCAUGUCCUAUUAAGUUUGAACGGAGCAGGAAACAAGAACAUUUAAAGAGUGCAUUCCUUAAGUUUACAAGGAUUAACAGUGGAGAAGAGGAAUUGACCCAACUCCCCCCUGGCACAAUUUAGCAACGUAUAGUCUUUGGGCUGAGAUCAUUAAUGUACCUUUUCUUAACUGAAACAUAGUUAAAUUGAACAUCCGGGGUGAUCAGUGAUCAAUGUGGAUGUUAAAAUCCCCUGUUUUAAUAAAUACGUUUCUCCCAUUUCUUGUGAGAUGCCUGACUGCUUCAUUUUCUCUGGUGGUUGCCUCGGUCUAAUGGACCGCGUCCGUCUGGCGGCAAGCUGCUUUUAAAUACAAGGCUACUCUCAAAAUCGACCAGCCAUGUUGGUUUGGACACACAUUCGCAUCAGUUCGUCGCUCAAUCGCGAGUUACUAAAGCCUGCAGUUUGCUAGCUAGCAAUGUCAUCGACUACCAUCGUUUAAAUACCUUGGCGAGAGCAUAAUCGGUUAUCUUCACCCAAGAGACAUACUGUUCUAACCUACGGUCAAUAAUUUUGGCUUUAAAGAACCAGGUUUCUCCCCAGUAAUCCAGACUCCACUUCACAGAGCCAAGAGUUUGAGUACAACUGAGGUGGCUUGGGCAUCUGUUCCGGAUGCCUCCUGAACGCCUUCCCGGGAAGGUAUUCCGGGCCCGUCCCACCGGGAGGAGACCCCGGGGAAGACCUAGGACACGCUGGAGGGACUAUGUCUCCCGGCUGGCCUGGGAACGCCUCGGUGUCACCCCGGAAGAGCUGGAGGAAGUCUAGGGAGAGGGAAGUCUGGGCAUCUCUGCUUAGACUGCUGCCCCCGCGACCCGGCCCCGGAUAAGCGGAAGAAGAUGGAUGGAUUGCUAGCUAGUACCAUGCUAGGUAUUUAAUUAGCUACAUAAUAAUAAUUAUUUAUUAAACUUCUUGAAUCUCAU